UCCUAGCACAGCGGGCUGCACCUUGCCCGUGCCCAAGGUUGGGGGACCCAUUUAAAGCUGCAGGCAGCCUUCCUGCAAAGACACUGGCUCACAAUGGAUGGUUGCUUCUGAGCGGGACACCAGGACACCCGCUUAGGGGCCUAGACUCUAACAGCUCCCCCGGUCCAUGGAGCUGUCGGCUUAAAGACGGUUCCUCUCGAGAUGCAGUGAGCCACGCAUAAGUUCCUCAAACGGCCUGGUAUGUGACAAGGGCUCUGCAAAGACUGGCUUCCGAGUCAUGGGUCCGAAAUGGGUCUGCAAGAGGCCCUGGAAGGCCCUGGAAGAGGAAGAGAACUGCCCAAGGCACUACCUCUGGUUAGUGCGAGAGCUGACUCCUCCCCAAUAUCCCCACCCUCGGAGCCAGGGUUUCCCGAGGUAGAGAAAACUCCACGUGACACAGUGUGCAGCCGAGGUAUUCAGAGAGAGAUUUAUGCACUGCUCUGGUGGGAAGCACCGCUCAGCCUGGGGUCUUUCCUCUUGACAAUGAGAGGUAAAAGUAAACCCAGCGACAGUGACUUUCUCUGUUGCUGGAAGUCACAUCAAGUUCAACGCUAAUAAUUGCAGAGGCACCCUUCCCAAAUCGCAGAUUCAUUACGGAACAGAUUUCAAAAUAAACGUCCGGGUUCCGC